AGUCUCAAAGGAGCUUUCAUGACAACUGCAAGCCACACAUUUCCUCUGGCCCCGUCUCAGUGUCAGUUCACACUCUGAGACCAUCAGACAUCAAAGUUAUUGCUGCUAUAGGAAGUUUGGGAAAUGCUGAAGAUUCUAGGACAGAGCAGGCUGACCCCCUCAAAAG